UUCAUUGCUUGCAGCCCUGGAAGCCCCCAGGUUGAUAGAAGGAAGUGAGUAGAAAAGGGAGUGCGAGGAUCAUCGAAUCCGCUUUCGUAAAGAAAAACACCACUCGAUUUCCUAUCACUAUGCGAGUGAUGAAAUUAGCGUGGCCAACCUUAUUGUUAUGUAGAUAUUUGAGUGAAAGGAUGAACGGAAUGGGUUUGCCUAGCAGCCCCUCUGCUCUGAGCUGUUUCCCUACCCUUCUUAGCACUGUAACAGGUUCAAGUCCUGUUAGUGACAGCCAUGUCCUCUUGAAUCAUGGCUUCCAGCCUUCACUGGAUUUCUUUAUGUUGAGAAUUCCCGAGGGACUCGGUGGCCGGGCAAGAGACAAUGAGGAAGGCACUUCCUCCUUUCCUGAAACUACAGCUUGCUUCUCUCAUUAUUGGACCUGUUCGCUUUCCGAGAUACUUUCACUUUUUCUGUGACUUCUUUUAGUCUGGAGAGAAGAGGAGGCUGGGGUGGUAUGAAAUCAAUUAUAAUUCUGUGGCAUUUUGUUCAGCCGGCAUAGGAAGAAGCUUUUAGAGAAAAAAAAAAAA
rnacentral:lncRNA from 1 species